rnacentral:rRNA from 1 species
GACGAACGCUGGCGGCAUGCCUAAUACAUGCAAGUCGAGCGAACAGAUGAAGUGCUUGCACUUCUGACGUUAGCGGCGAACGGGUGAGUAACACGUAAGGAAUCUACCUAUAAGCGGGGGAUAACAUUCGGAAACGGGUGCUAAUACCGCAUAAUAUCUUCUUCCGCAUGGAAGAAGAUUUAAAGACGGCUCUGCUGUCACUUAUAGAUGACCUUGCGGUGCAUUAGUUAGUUGGUGGGGUAAUGGCCUACCAAGACAAUGAUGCAUAGCCGACCUGAGAGGGUGAGCGGCCACAUUGGGACUGAGACACGGCCCAAACUCCUACGGGAGGCAGCAGUAGGGAAUCUUCCGCAAUGGGCGAAAGCCUGACGGAGCAAUGCCGCGUGAGAGAAGAAGGCCUUCGGGUCGUAAAACUCUGUUAUAAGAGAAGAACAAAUUGUAGAGUAACUGCUACAGUCUUGACGGUAUCUUAUCAGAAAGCCACGGCUAACUACGUGCCAGCCGCCGCAGUAA